rfam:Bacteroidetes bacterium GWE2_29_8 gwe2_scaffold_2667, whole genome shotgun sequence.
AAAAAGUGGAGUCCAGAAAUCACUUAAAAAAACGGGGCGCAACCGAAAAGCCUUACGAGUAGGGAAACUA